rnacentral:rRNA from 1 species
AUUGAACGCUGGCGGCAGGCCUAACACAUGCAAGUCGAGCGGAUGAAGGGAGCUUGCUCCUGGAUUCAGCGGCGGACGGGUGAGUAAUGCCUAGGAAUCUGCCUGGUAGUGGGGGAUAACGUCCGGAAACGGGCGCUAAUACCGCAUACGUCCUGAGGGAGAAAGUGGGGGAUCUUCGGACCUCACGCUAUCAGAUGAGCCUAGGUCGGAUUAGCUAGUUGGUGGGGUAAAGGCCUACCAAGGCGACGAUCCGUAACUGGUCUGAGAGGAUGAUCAGUCACACUGGAACUGAGACACGGUCCAGACUCCUACGGGAGGCAGCAGUGGGGAAUAUCGGACAAUGGGCGGAAGCCUGAUCCAGCCAUGCCGCGUGUGUGAAGAAGGUCUUCGGAUUGUAAAGCACUUUAAGUUGGGAGGAAGGGCAGUAAGUUAAUACCUUGCUGUUUUGACGUUACCAACAGAAUAAGCACCGGCUAACUUCGUG